UACGAAGGGUGCAAGCGUUAAUCGGAAUUACUGGGCGUAAAGCGCGUGUAGGCGGCGCACUAAGUUCGAUGUGAAAGCCCUGGGCUUAACCCAGGAACUGCAUUGAAAACUGGUGGGCUCGAAUCCGGGAGAGGGAUGUGGAAUUCCAGGUGUAGCGGUGAAAUGCGUAGAUAUCUGGAGGAACACCGGUGGCGAAGGCGGCAUCCUGGACCGGUAUUGACGCUGAUGCGCGAAAGCCAGGGGAGCAAACGGG
rnacentral:rRNA from 1 species